CCCUGCUAUUCUAAUUAUAUAUAAUAUUUCAAAGAAAAACAACUAAAUAAAUUUGACGGUAUUAACCUUUACAAAGGAAUUUGUUUCUUAAUCGAAAAUACACGACUAACCUUACUUAAUUAUUUUUUGUAUACCACCGUAAAGAAAUUAUUCUAAAUCAAUAUCAUAAUAAAUUAUUUUACAAUAUCAGGUCAAGGUGCAAUUUAAUUAAGACGAAAUGAAUUAUAUUUUAACAUAAACAUAUAAGAAAUGAAACUUUCUUAAAAAUAGAAUUUGUCAGUAAAAUUAAAUAAGAAUGUUUUUUUGAAAAAAUACAUUAAUAUGUACAUAUCGCCCG
rnacentral:rRNA from 1 species